CAUUGUAUUUUAGCUGAAGAAUAUCAAUUUGGAUAUAAAUUAAGAGAUACUUACCGUAAGGAAUCAUCUUGGUAUUUAGAAGGCAAUAAUCUAUCAAGAAAUGUUUUACUUUCGAGAAAUCGCAUGGUGCUAAACCCGUUGAAUAAGGCG